CAGCUUCAUUCAGACAUGGGCCAAGGCAUUCUACAGUACCAAGAAAGUCACUGCAGAUCCACAAGGGAUGUCCUUGUCUUCAAAAGCAGAGCUGAUGAGACAAUAUCUAGAGAAACAGCUUGGCUCUCAUGUCAGAGUAAACCAGAGGAUGAAGAAGUCAUCACCAGGAAGGUCCUCAGAAACCUGAACUGAAAGGUGCAGAUUUCUGCCUGGGACGUGGCCAUAUCCUGAGCACAUGCACAGCAAGAGAUACCACAGCUGAGGCACAAAAGG